GACGAACCGUGCGAACGUUAUUCGGAAUCAUUGGGCUUAAAGGGCGCGUAGGCGGCGGUGUAAGUUGGAAGUGAAAUCCCAUCGGCUCAACCGUGGAAUUGCUCCCAGUACUGCAUCGCUCGAGGGGGAUAGGGGUUUGCGGAACUACCGGUGGAGCGGUGAAAUGUGUUGAUAUCGGUGGGAACGCCAGUGGCGAAAGCGGCAAACUUGACCCUUCCUGACGCUGAGGCGCGAAAGCUAGGGGAGCAAACGGGAUUAGAUACCCCGGUAGUCCUAGCCUUAAACGUUGGGUACUGAGUAGAAAGGGGACCGAUACCCCCUUCUGCUGGAGCGAAAGUGUUAAGUACCCCGCCUGGGGAGUAUGGUCGCAAGGCUGAA
rnacentral:rRNA from 1 species